AGCGCUGCCCCCGGUAAGUGAGGGUGGGACUGGCUUUAUCCCCUACCUGCUGCCCUUUGACCUUUUGUCUGUCUGCAGGAGCU
rnacentral:pre_miRNA from 7 species